GGCGCAUACAUGUACAACAAAACAUACAACAAUGAAAAUCAAAUUGUAGGCAAUAAAAACGUCACCUUUGCCGAUCACUUCUGACCCUCAGUGUCAAAAUGGUUCUGCUAUUUCUAUUUUCAUGAAUAUUUCAACAUAUGCUUUAAUUCUGGUCAAGUACCGGAUAGGUGAAAUGAGGGAUCUAUAAUCCCAAUACACAGAUGUUCAAAACCAGAUCCUCGAGAUCAUUUAUCUUACCGUGAGGGGAAUAACUCUUGAUCCAUUUCAAUAAAUAUACAUUGUAACAUUUUCAAUGAAAGUUUAGACAAAAGUUUGUUGAAAAUAAGAUAAUUGACGAUGGGCAGGAUGAUUUAUGAAAGACAAAAGUACCAUUAAUCACAU
rnacentral:lncRNA from 1 species